AGGUCCGUUACCUGGCUGGCCAGCUGACGUGGGCUUCGGAGAGGAGCUCCCUCUGGGGUCAGCCCCGGCCAGUGGUGUGUGAAAGGCAGGCGGGAGCUCUUCCCUAGGGCCGACUUCCCGUGGAGGGCUGAGACUUCCAGUUCUUGAUGGGGAAAAGCCGGGAAGCCAUGACUCAAAGAGCAAAACCUCUGCAUCGAGGCUGAUAUUAGCUCUUUCUCCUUGAGGAACAGUUUCCGUCAACGUGUCACCCAAGUGCAUUUGGUCAUACUGAGUUCAUGGUACAGUGAAAACCCUUCUUGCCAAGAGCAAAGGCAGAUGAGAGCCAGCGUGAGUCACCCCGGCUCUCCACGUCCUCGGCGGCAGGGAGACGCCGCUCGCUGUAGCCUGCACAGCCUGUGACACGGGUGCCAGCCACAGACAGCUCUGGACCCCGGCGCAGUCCCCCCAAGUCUCCGCAACUCCCAAUUCCCUCAAGCCAUCGCUUCCAGGACCCACUUCGCAAGGUGUAGACGCGUUACUGCUCUUUCUGGUAUACUUCCAAGCUCCUUGGAGCCCACCCUUGGCUAGCACCACCUAGAAAUUGCAUGACUGCCAUUUUAGGACAGGAUUUUGAAAGCUGUUUAAUUUAACAUUUAAUGUUGCUUGAGCUCCUACAGUUAGCAUCUGAGGCAGUGUAGCAGCAGGAGAAAAGAUGCUCGCUCCUACUCACAAGUAUAUAUGAGCAGUGUAUUCUUUCUGCUAAAAAUAGUCGAGUUCUGGCUCCGCUGAUGACUCUCCCAGCCUCAUUUUCUUCAUUGUAAGAUGGGGAUAGAAACAUCCCUAAGAUAAGUGCUUAAAAAGCCUCUUUAAACUGUAAACAUACUGCCUGAUUUUUAAAUUAUUGCAUGACCAAGAUAUGCAAAAGGCUUUGGUGAGGUGACAGUGCUCCAGCAGGCACUAACCUAUCUGGUGUUUUGGAAAUAGCAAAAAGGGCAAAAUUCUAGCGUUGGGGAAGAUUCGAGUGACUUCUGCCUCAUUAGCUGCUGUUUCCUCCUGUCAUUGUGUCUGGCAUCCCCGAUGCUCUCUGACAGGCAUAAACAAGUCACUGCUCUCAUAUUCACAUCUCUCUUUCUGGAAUUACUUGUAAGAUAGAAAAAUCUCAAUGGCAAGACUGUGGGGCAAGGCCUAGGAAUGGGGUGAGACAGGUUCUUCACAUCCCUUUUCCCUUAAGUGACACUUUUUCACAUAUCUGAGUAAACUGGGAAUGAAUUAAUUUGCAUGUAAGAGUUUGCUCUAUAAUGUUUAAAAUAGUUUUGUGUUAAUACAUAUUUUAAACUUCUUUGCAGCAGUAUGAUGAACCAGAUAACCUGAAAAACAUCUAGAUAUAAAAUGCUUAGAAAUUGUUGACUGAAAUAUACAGGUGUAAUUUGGAGAUAUUGUGGAUUCAGUUCAAGACCACUGCAAUAAAGCAAAUAUUGCAAUUAA